AUGAUGAAGGUUCUGAUUCUACUGCUGAAUACACUCGGCCUCCUCACUCAACAGUCGUUUGGACAAAUCAUCAUGACUCAGACUCCAGGAUCUCACUCGGUUUCUCCAGGACAAACUGUUACCAUCAACUGCAAAGCCAGUCAGAGCGUUGGCAGCUACCUCGCCUGGUACCAGCAGAAACCUGGAGAAGCUCCUAAACUUCUGAUCUAUUAUGCAACUACUCGUCAGUCUGGGAUUCCUGGACGUUUUAGUGGAAGUGGAUCUGGUACAGAAUUUACUCUUAAAAUCACUUCAGUUCAGGCUGAAGAUGCAGGAGAUUAUUACUGUCAGCAGGGUAACAGCGGGUACACACAGUGUUAUUUGCUGGUACAAAAACCUCCCUCAGCUGUAGAGGAAGUUCUCUGA